GGGGGCAUUCGUAUUUAACUGUCAGAGGUGAAAUUCCUGGAUUUGUUAAAGACGGACUACUGCGAAAGCAUUAGCCAAGGAUGUUUUCAUUGAUCAAGAACGAAAGUUAGGGGAUCGAAGACGAUCAGAUCCCGUCCUAGUCUUAACCAUAAACCAUGCCGACUAGAGAUUGGAGGUCGUUAUCUAUACGACUCCUUCAGCACCUUAUGAGAAAUCAAAGUCUUUGGGUUCCGCGGGGAGUAUGGUCGCAAGGCUGAAACUUAAAGGAAUUGACGGAAGGG
rnacentral:rRNA from 1 species